rnacentral:misc_RNA from 1 species
UCCAAUUCUAUAAUAUUGUUUUCAAUUUCGAAACCUUUUUGCAUUAUUUAAAACCCUUAUUAAAUGCUAUCACUUUGCCAUCACCCGAUGAUUCUUGAAUCCAUAAUGCACAACAAGAGAGUUAGUUGGUGAGACGGAGAGGAGAGAAAUCUAUGGCUAUUGGAGUGCAUCACAUAACAGAUUGAAGAGUAGUAUCAACUGCUUCCACCUUUAUGGCUGUUAGAAUGCAUCACACAACGGAUUGAAGAGUAGCAUUAACACCUUCUGAUG